ensembl:lincRNA
GGUUUGUAUAUUUAGAAUCAGUGUGAAUUUUACCCCAUUUGUUGUGGGCCAGAGUGAGAGCCUGAGUGAAAGCAAUCAAUUCUUCUUGUUGUGAGGUGGUAUUGAGUGGAAAUGGAUUGUCUCAAUUGUCUGUUUUAAAGAGACUAUGGCAUAUCCUGCCCACUUCUGUCCAGGUACCUGAGUGGGAAUCGAGCUGCCAUCAAUAAACCAUGUGAAUUCUGGGUCUGAGACGGCCUCUGAAGAUACAUUAUGGAGGGAAGGAAGCAGGUUUUUGGUCACCUUUGUGCCUGGUUGAAGCAGCAGAUGUGUAACUGAAGGACAUGGAAGGCCAACUUUACCAUCUAUACUUAAAUAUUUUCUAUCAUCUCUCUAUUAUCUAUCUAUCUAUCAUCUAUCUGUUAUCUAUGUAUCAUCUAUCUUCCAUCCAUCUCAUUACCUGUCUAUCCACACACUCAAACACAUACACAUACCCUAUGGCUUCUGUUCUCAGGAGAUCCUCACCACUCCUUGGGGCCAGCUCACUGGAAUUCCUCCCAGUAGAGAGCCCAGAUGAGAAGCAGUGGACCAGACUGUGGAAGUUGAAAGAAAAGAGCAGAGGGAAGCAGUCAGUCAUCUUCACAUGGAGGGGAGCUGGGACAAUGAGCUGAAGGCAAACUGUUCAACCACACAAGCCCAACCAGAGCAGAGAAAGUACCUAGACCUGACACUCCACCAGCUAUCUCGCCUUGUGACUGUGUCUGCCAUAAGUAAAACCUCACAGGGUGGGGAAGGAGGAACCUCCCUCUAGGGGUUCUGGGUGAAUAAGGCAGAUACUUAUCACCUUACCCUAUUGGUUUGGCUUGGAAUCCCAGGCCGAGACAUUCUCUUCACUGUUUGUAUCUUGAGGGAUUAAUAGAUGUGCUGUUCCUAACUUCAGUGUUAAUUCUGUAGGACAGCAUGGCCUGCUCUAAGGCACUCUACAGUUUGAUACCUUCAAGAGCAGAGGUUAGGUGUUGUGCUAGUUUCCUUCUUUCCUGAAAUUGUUCCCUGUUAACAAGGAGACCCUUUUGUUGGGUUUUAAUGGCCAAAUUAGCAUCUUCCCUUGCCAUCUGGAAACACUUCCAGUGAGUUCUAUAAGCUGUGAUUCAAUCCAGAGGUGAGAAUGACAUGUCGGGGCUGGCAUGUGCAGAUGGAUGGCUGAUUCUCCUCAGGAGAACAGCAGGGUGGUGGCAGCAGUGUUGGAUGAGCAUAUCAAGGCCUCUUGGAGAGGUGCUCUGUGCUUGAGUUCUGCAAGGCAAUGUGAAAACCGUCAAGAUUCAGAUGCAGCAGACAGGCUUCAGGGCUUCUGGGCUGGUGCUGGUAAAGGGGGGCACAGAUUCUUCCUGAUGAGAGGUGUAAUGGAGAAUACCCCCACUGUGCAGGAAGGUGUUUCCACUGACAUACUGGAGGUUUUUCAUGGAGAAGAUUGGUUUGCUUGCUGAAUCUGAGAGAUCUGCUGCAUCAUUACAGCUUCUGCAUCAACACUGUGGGUACCAACGUUACCCACCUUGACCGAGCUCAGCAGCAGCUUGGCAAUUGUACUAGGUCCUUCUCAGAUCAAAGAUGCAGGAAAUGCCCAACAUAGACAACUUCCAACCCUCCUAAAAUCUAACCUUUUCUGCUUAACUAAGAACAAGUAACAAUUAUACCAUCCUUGCUCUGUGUCAGGCACUGGCUUAGAUACUUAAGCCUUUAUGGCCACAGUGGGAGAUGGAGAUACUGUCUUCACUGUUAUUUUACAAAUGAGGAUGGAGGGAAGAGGGAUUAACGUGGCAUCCACAUGCUCAUAAAACUUAUGAGCCAUAGGACUAGACACUAACUCCAUGAACACCCAUGCCCAGAGGUCUCUGGCUCUUGCAUGGCCAGAUGCCAUACCUGGGACUGAACUCAAAUAGGAGGAAGCACCAGAGAAGACACCAGUGCUAAAGAGUCCAUGUCACCUCAGUUUCACCAAGCAGUAGUGUUUUGAUCAGGUGGAUAUAUUAGAAGCUGUGGCAGCUGAGUUAAACUAAUGCAUUUUGAAGUAGGCAUAGUGGUGCAUGCCUGAAAUCCCAGCACUUUGAAAGGCUGAGACAGGAGGCUCACAAGUUUGAGCUCGGCUGGUGCAGCUUAGUGUCUUGGGGAGACAUGUCAAAAGAAUUUUAAAAGGGCUGGGGAUAUACUUCAGUGUGAAGUCCCCGGGUUUAAUCUCCAGUUUAAUCAAUCACAAAAUAACAACCAAAGAAUGUGAACAUGCUUUGACAGUUGUUUGGUUGCUGACUAUGUGACCUGUUUAUCUAUCUUCAGUAGGAAAAUGAUAACACUAAUCUCAAUUUCCAGCAGAUUGUUACAAGGAAUAAUCAUGAAAAUGCUUCUAAAGCACAGUAAAGUGGACAAAAAUGAAGCCAUUUGUCACUCCAUAGGAAGCAAAUUUCUAUGAAAAAUUAGUUAACAUUCAUGAAUAUAAUAAAAGAAGACUAUAAGGCUCCUUCUAACAUCAGUGUAAUUGUGCCAAUUUUCCAGCACUGUGCUACAACUAGGGCCCAGGAGAAAGCUCAGCUCCAACCACCUAAGUUUGAAUUUUGCUUUCAUGAAUCCACAUUCGAUUAGGCUUUGGUGGGUGACACUGAGGACCUGCUCAAUGUUCCCCUCCUGCAAGGUGACAGUGAGGGGAGAGCAGUGAAUGGAAGCGGCUCAAGACACCCUCCUGCUCCUAGACAGUGGCACUCACACUUCCUAUUGCUACAGCUACCCAGGCAGCUGACCAAGUUAGUGUCAACAGACCUUGACUUUGCUAAAGGAGAGAGCCAGGUGUAUCAACGUGCUCUACCCGGACCAAGGUCCAUGGGCAUAUAAAAAUUUUCCUGGUGAACUCAGCCUCCUGGCUUAAGCUAUGCAAUGAAGCAUGUGGUGCCAAGCAUAGAAGCUGGGCUACUUUUUCCUGCCACCAACCAAACCCAGAGGUGACUAUGAUUCUCAAAGUUCAGUGAGUGCAUUCUCCAAAAUAGCAAGUCAGUGCAUUUCCCAAAAUAGUAAACCUACAGUGUUUUAUAAAAUCCCAGAUGGGGUGGUCCAUGCCUGCUGAGACUUCCUUUUAUAAGCCUGUCAGGGAGAGAUAUAAAGGAAUAAUAGUGAGGUAGGCCAUGUCAGGGGUCAGGGAAAGGGUAGGGCUGAUGAAUGAAGAAUCAUGGAUAAGGACAGGGAACAGACACUGGGUCCAACUCCAAGCUCAUCAAUGUAAGACCACAGUGGGUGGCAGCCCAGGUCCUAGGAGGUGGGCACGCAGCAGAGGCUGUGGUUUAUGAUGCAUAAAUAGGGAAGGUGCAAUGACACAGGCAGGCUGGCUGGCAGCCUUGGACCGCAGGUGCGUGAAUGGGGAGGCUGGAAAAGGAGGAACGGGGUUUCUUGCCAGUAGAUUGUGGGGCAAUGGUGAGUGCUCCAUUAAAAACAUAAAGUAAAAGUGCAGAUUCUAGAAUAGACUCAAGCUCACAAGAACCUGAAAGCAAGCUUGACCUUCAUAUAUGCAUUUAACGUCCAUCUGUUCAUCCAUUUACUCAUCACCGAUCCA